rnacentral:rRNA from 1 species
CCUACGGGCGGCAGCAGUGGGGAAUAUUGGACAAUGGGGGGAACCCUGAUCCAGCCAUGCCGCGUGUGUGAAGAAGCCCUCGGGUUGUAAAGCACUUUCAGUGAGGAAGAACGCCUGGUGGUUAAUACCCAUCAGGAAAGACAUCACUCACAGAAGAAGCACCGGCUAACUCCGUGCCAGCAGCCGCGGUAAUACGGAGGGUGCGAGCGUUAAUCGGAAUUACUGGGCGUAAAGCGCGCGUAGGUGGCUUGAUAAGCCGGUUGUGAAAGCCCCGGGCUCAACCUGGGAACGGCAUCCGGAACUGUCAAGCUAGAGUGCAGGAGAGGAAGGUAGAAUUCCCGGUGUAGCGGUGAAAUGCGUAGAGAUCGGGAGGAAUACCAGUGGCGAAGGCGGCCUUCUGGACUGACACUGACACUGAGGUGCGAAAGCGUGGGUAGCAAACAGGAUUAGAUACCCCGGUAGUC